UACGUAGGGUGCGAGCGUUAAUCGGAAUUACUGGGCGUAAAGCGUGCGCAGGCUGUUAUGUAAGACAGAUGUGAAAUCCCCGGGCUCAACCUGGGAACUGCAUCAGUGACUGCAUGGCUAGAGUACGGUAGAGGGGGAUGGAAUUCCGCGUGUAGCAGUGAAAUGCGUAGAUAUGCGGAGGAACACCGAUGGCGAAGGCAGUCCCCUGGACCAGUACUGACGCUCAUGCACGAAAGCGUGGGGAGCAAACAGG
rnacentral:rRNA from 1 species